GACGAACGCUGGCGGCGUGCCUAAUACAUGCAAGUCGAGCGCAGGAAACUGACGGAACUCUUCGGAGGGAAGGCAGUGGAAUGAGCGGCGGACGGGUGAGUAACACGUAAGGAACCUGCCUUAAGGAUUGGGAUAACUCCGAGAAAUCGGAGCUAAUACCGGAUAGUUCAACGGACCGCAUGGUCCGCUGAUGAAAGGCGCUCCGGCGUCACCUUGAGAUGGCCUUGCGGUGCAUUAGCUAGUUGGUGGGGUAACGGCCCACCAAGGCGACGACGCAUAGACGACCUGAGAGGGUGAUCGGCCACACUGGGACUGAGACACGGCCCAGACUCCUACGGGAGGCAGCAGUAGGGAAUCUUCCACAAUGGACGAAAGUCUGAUGGAGCAACGCCGCGUGAGUGAUGAAGGUUUUCGGAUCGUAAAACUCUGUUGUAAGGGAAGAACACGUACGAGAGGAAAUGCUCGUACCUUGACGGUACCUUACGAGAAAGCCACGGCUAACUACGUGCCAGCAGCCGCUGUAACAC
rnacentral:rRNA from 1 species